GAAGUUAAGCCCGCCAGCGCCGAUGGUACUGCGACCGGGAGGUCGUGGGAGAGUAGGACGCCGCCGGAC
rnacentral:rRNA from 1 species